rnacentral:rRNA from 1 species
AACGCGAAGAACCUUACCUGGGCUUGAACUACUGGUAGUAAGUCUCUGGAAACAGAGGCUGAUCCGCAAGGAAGCCAGCAGAGGUGCUGCAUGGUUGUCGUCAGCUCGUGUCGUGAGAUGUUGGGUUAAGUCCCGCAACGAGCGCAACCCCUAUCUCAUGUUGCUAAUCCUGCAAGGGAUGCACUUUUGAGAAACUGCCUUCGAUAAGAAGGAGGAAGGUGGGGACGACGUCAAAUCCUCAUGGCCCUUAUGUCCAGGGCUACACACGUGCUACAAUGGUCGGUACAACGGGAAGCAAUACCGUAAGGUGGAGCAAAACCCUGAAAGCCGGCCCCAGUUCAGAUCGUGGGCUGCAACUCGCCCACGUGAAGGCGGAAUCGCUAGUAAUCGCGAAUCAGCAGGUCGCGGUGAAUACGUUCCCGGGCCUUGUA